rnacentral:rRNA from 1 species
CACGUAGGGUGCAAGCGUUGUCCGGAAUUAUUGGGCGUAAAGGGCGCGUAGGCGGCCAUGUAAGUCGGGUGUGAAAUCCCAAGGCUCAACCUUGGAACUGCAUUCGAUACUGUGUGGCUAGAGACCGGAAGAGGUGGGUGGAAUACCCAGUGUAGAGGUGAAAUUCGUAGAUAUUGGGUGGAACACCGGUGGCGAAGGCGGCUCACUGGUCCGGUUCUGACGCUGAGGCGCGAAAGCGUGGGGAGCAAACAGG